UUUUUUAGAUUUGGUAGCCUCCAUUUUAAGCUGGAGUUUGUUGAGCGCAACAUUUCGUUCUUCAGGAACAUCCUGCAGAACAGGAAAAUGCAUUUCUUGGACUCUCUCAUAGUUACUUUACUCGUCGUGGAGAUCUUGAUGUCGAUAUAUCGUAAUGGAAUGUAAACUUUUCGCAACCACAAGGCAGAAACCAGGAAGAGAGUGGGCCCUCUAUCUUUGAUAUGAAGUUGUUCAAGGAAAACAUCUUCAAUUUUGAUAGUUAAAUUUAUGUAAAAACCAAACUCUGGAGUUUGAUAGAGUUCAGGUUUUUGUUUA